CCUUCCUUUUCUUUCCUCUAGGCCUGCUUGAAGCCAUUUAGGAAACCUUUGCUGAGAGCCUCCAUCAGAGCUCCUCCCGCAAACUCUGCUGGAAACAGUUGUUUCUUUCCAGUAUAAAAGAAUUUUAUGGACCGGUUGGCCAAUAAGUACAUGGGAGGUUUGAAGAGCUGAAAGAAAAAAAUCCAUCUUAGACUUGCUUUUUAAAAUCCUCGUGUAAGAUGAAGACCAUUACAGACAGCUUGCCCUUUUAU
rnacentral:lncRNA from 1 species